rnacentral:rRNA from 1 species
GAUGAACGCUGGCGGCGUGCCUAAUACAUGCCAGUCGAGCGAACGGACGAGAAGCUUGCUUCUCUGAUGUUAGCGGCGGACGGGUGAGUAACACGUGGAUAACCUACCUAUAAGACUGGGAUAACUUCGGGAAACCGGAGCUAAUACCGGAUAAUAUUUUGAACCGCAUGGUUCAAAAGUGAAAGACGGUCUUGCUGUCACUUAUAGAUGGAUCCGCGCUGCAUUAGCUAGUUGGUAAGGUAACGGCUUACCAAGGCUACGAUGCAUAGCCGACCUGAGAGGGUGAUCGGCCACACUGGAACUGAGACACGGUCCAGACUCCUACGGGAGGCAGCAGUAGGGAAUCUUCCGCAAUGGGCGAAAGCCUGACGGAGCAACGCCGCGUGAGUGAUGAAGGUCUUCGGAUCGUAAAACUCUGUUAUUAGGGAGGAACAUAUGUGUAAGUAACUGUGCACAUCUUGACGGUACCUAAUCAGAAAGCCACGGCUAACUACGUG